rnacentral:lncRNA from 1 species
CGACUCCUCAGGGAAAUAUACUGAAGGAGAUCUACCCGGGCUUUUCACGCAGGCCAGCUCUUCACUGUCCUUGUUUCUCUUGCUGCUGAGCCUCCCGUCACCAACGGCAAACAAGAGCAGCACCGACAGCACUCAGCAGCGGCGCUGAGACCUGGGUUACAACCCACAUGGGCUAAAGCAGCCUCCUGCGCCCACCUUGGGAUGCUGGGAGAAAAAAACUCUCCCAAAAAGCCCUAACUCUGGAAGAUCUGCUCCUGGGGUCUCCACCCCAGAGUCUGGGGUUGGGGGACGUCCCCUGACCGGCUGCAGCAGACCCACCUUCCAUUGUCGCCUUCCUGCAGAGCCAGGCUUCUGUGAGAACCAAGCCUGAAGGGAGCACAGACUCCCAGAGAAGAGAGGAGUCACAAACUCGGGCAGAAAGGAUCCAAGAAGCCCUGUGGUUAACCCCUGCCUCCAGGGGAGAUGAGGCUAAAAUCCUGUGGAUCUGGCUGGCUCCUGACAUUGUAGCAGAGACGUCUCUGAAGGAGGAAGGAGGGACUUGGACAAGGACUGUGCUGUGGCCCCUGCUGGAGUAGGGAUGAGGCAAAGCCACCUACAGGGACAGCCUGGACUGACUCAUUCUGGAAAGAAGACAGAUGGGCUCCUUGGGGCUCCCAAGUCCUGUUGGCAGGGCUGACCUCUCAGCCUAACCUCAUCCAUCCAGGCUCCUCUGAGGGACUGGCCAGGCCUGGAGAAGUCAUUUGGGGAGUGUUUAAGAUCAGAAGAAAAAGAAAAUAGCCAGGAUCUGGGAGAUUCAUUAACUUUUCUGUGCUGUGUCCUGACACCUGGUUUUCCGUUGGGGAAAUUCAUGGAUGACUCUGCCUCCUUCUUGACCUCUGUGGUCCUGGCUGGGCCUCCUGACUUUGUUACUUCAGCUCAUCCUUCAGAAGACAACUGUGCACCUCUUCAGGAGUAAUAAUUUUUCUGGUUACUCGAUUGCAAGUUGAGAGGUUUUUUCCUCAGUGUGAUUCCACUGACUCUGGCCUCCGUCGUCCGCUGGGAAGUCCACGGUCAGUCUGAAGGCCCCGCCUUGGCAGCUGGAACUCACCUCGCAGCGGCCCUGUUUACUCACCUACCAGCUGCCUUCCUUAGAACCAGUUUUGUUCCUGUUCAGAAGGAAACCAGGCAGAGUUGGGAAAAUAUUUCCUCAGCCAGCUCCGCAGCCCCACUGUCUGGCGGAGGCCAUCUGGCCGGGAUGCACUCCGAGGGAGUAAACGCAGAAUUGCCCUCUCCCCGCACGACAGGGCAGAGAAGACGGCAGGUCCCAAGACGGGCUGCUACUGUGCUGAUUCUAACUCAUCUCCGGAAGUCCCCAGAGUCCAGCAGUGUGCUGGUGAUGUUUCACCACCGGCUCCCUGGGAGGGUGGAGGGUUGUCUGUGACGGCCGCCUAUGGACACACUCAGUCCCCUAAUUCUUCAAACUCAUCAGGACCUUUGAUACGUUGGACCUGAAGUCUAGUGUCCGUCACCCCCGCCCCCAUCCUGCCUUCACUUCUCU